rnacentral:lncRNA from 1 species
ACAACCAUCAGAUGGAGCUUUUGCACAAAGUCGGCUGAGACAGGGCAAUUUUGGGACUAACGCUUGUCAGUCCUGAACGAUGCUAUGACAUUGAGGUUGAAUAGUUUGAUCUUUGUCCACCUCCAGCUGGUCAUGAAAUAAAGACGCUGAAUAUGAACAGAAAUAUCACUUCCACAGAGAGACGAUAUAGUAGGCUACCAGUCAUUUAAGAUAUAGUACCAGUCAUUUGUCAUGAAAUACAGUAGCGCCUCUUCAAUUAAAAACGAGUUCAAAUAUCGGCAAAUAUCAUUGCUAAAAAGAUAAAAAGUUUAAAACAGUUUACAAAUUUGUAAAAUGCUACAAAAUCUGGAGUUUACAAGUAAGAGUAAAACGAUUUGAUUAUCAUUGAAUUCUUAAUAAUAUAAUUAAUAUAUAUUUUUUCUGUUAGUCCACACGCAAAAGUCUGGGUCUCGCUGUAUCGCUCAGGCUGCACUGCAGUGUCUAUUCACAGGUGCGAUCCCACUACUGAUCGACACGGGGGCUUUGACCUGCUCCGUCUCCGACCUGGGCCGGUUCACCCCUCCUUAGAAGACCUGGUGGUCCCAAGCUCCCCCAGGAGCACCAUAUCGAUACCGAACUUAGUGUGGACAUGCUGCAGCUCUCGUCGGGUGCAGUGGCGCGCGCCUGUAAUCCAAGCUGCUGGGAGACUGAGGCUGGCGGAUCGCUUGAGUUCAGGGGUUCUGGGCUGCAGUGGACUAUGUUGAUCAGGUGUCCACACUAAGUUCGGUAUCGAUAUGAUGCUCCUGGGGGAGCUCGGGACCACCAGGUCGUCUAAGGAGGGGUGAACCGGCCCAGGUCGGAGACGGAGCAGGUCAAAGCCCCCGUGUCGAUCAGUAGUGGGAUCGCUCCUGUGAAUAGACACUGCAGUGCAGCCUGAGCGAUACAGCGAGACCCAGACUUUUGCGUGUGGACUAACAGAAAAAAUAUAUAUUAAUUAUAUUAUUAAGAAUUCAAUGAUAAUAAAACCGUUUCACUCUUCCGUCAACUCCAGAUAAAGACAUUGUCUCACUUUCAAAUUUGUAAACUUUUUAAAU